CACAAAUGGGGGAGGGGCGAUGAACUAUAAUCUUUCAAACCAGAGUCUGGGGAGCUGGCCUAUCUAAUUUGAAGAAACUGAAAGAGAAUCCUUGGAACCCUCGCUCCUUCGGGUGCACACCCACCCCAUUCCAGCAGACGCACACACGCCCCGCCCGAACAAGUCCACGAUGCCAGGCUGGACCUUCAGAGCACAGGAACCGCCCAAGGACACUUGCCUUGACUGGAACCCAAGCGGAGGCUGGGCAGAGGCAGGUCACCCCAGCUGAGUGAUCACAUUACCCUGGCAGCUGUCCAAGGGGCAGUUCCCAGCUGCACCUGUUUGUAGGACGACCGCUUUUAUCAGUAUUGACACAGCAGCGGGUCUGGGAACAGCAUUGCAAUAAAUAAAUGGAGGGGGGUGCAGGCGGGACAGGGGCAGAGCCACUGAGGCCAGCAGAAAGGGAUGAGGUCUUUUGCUGAUUGUCAGCACUUUCAGUUCAAAUACCACCACCACCCCCUCUCCCUCCCUGGAACCUCUAAAGAUCCUGCAGGCUGACUUGUGCCUAAGAGCCCUGGGUCUUAAAGAGAUAGAAUUGCAGAAUCACCUUAGGCUCUCUUCACGUCUAGCUCAACGAUUAAGAGCAGCGGCUGCUUCUGCAGACAACUUAGGCUCUGUCUGCAGCACCUGUAGGGGCGGCUUGCAACCACCUACGUGUGACUCCAGUUCCAGGGGAUCUAAUGUCUUCUUCUGAUCUCAGAAUGAAACAGGAACCCACAUGGCACACGGAUAUCCAUGCGGGGGGGGGGGGGAACACUGAUAAAUAUAAGAUAAAAAUAAACCUUAAAACAACAAGAA
rnacentral:sRNA from 1 species